rnacentral:tRNA from 1 species
GCCCGGGUGACGAAAUCGGUAGACGUAGCGGACUUAAAAUCCGCGGCCGCGAGGCAUGCGGGUUCGACCCCCGCCCCGGGUACCA